AUACUCUACAGAGUCUGAAGGCUCCCAGAACUGAGGCAGUCAGCAGACUCCCUGGGCACAGAACUGACUUCAACGGGAAAUACUCAAGACUAUUCGCCUGUGGUUUGCUGAGCUGUUGGUGCACAAAACGGCCGCGUGACGGCGCUCCAACACAACCGCAUGAGAGAAAACAUUGGUCAAAGGAAAAACAGACCAGGAAAAAAGGGGAAAAAGGGUCAAACAAGGAAAGCAAAUAGUACCUCAUCAUCUUCAUCUGUGAGCUCCUGCCCUUCUUCAUUAUGGCUAUAAUCUUCUGAAUAAAUAGACUCAACUUCAAACUCAACACUGAACUGGUCUGAUACAGAACUGUGGUCGAACCAAUCAGAAUUUUCACUUAAUGAACUGGCAUCAAGAUCCUUAAAAAACAAAAGAAAGCAGACAUUCAACCUCACCAGUCCAUACACAUAACACUACUGUUAAAACAACUCUUAGGAUAAAACUUACUACUCAGUAUAAUYACCUAUGGAAGAAAAAGGUCCAGCUGCCACUAGAGAACUUUUUAUGCAACAAACAAAUUACAGGUAGGUAAAAAUAAAGAUAAAUCUGAAAGCCUUUUGUUUGCUCUGUAAUAAAAAGCUGCACUCAGCGUACAGCCAGCUGAAAGACUGCGGUUAUUAUUUCAGAAAGUCCCUCCUAAAAAGUGAAAGAACAGAUGCAAGAAGACAGUAUCUUUUGGCUGCAUUCAUUAAAUUCUGUUCUCACCAACUUUGUUUCAUCUGGGACUGUGGCUAAAUCAUUACAAAAUAGGGAGACCAAAGACACAGUAUUAGUUCYGUCAAUUUAGAAUACAGUACUUGACUAGGAAUACUGCUAGUUUAGCGCUUGAYUUAAUCUAACCACAAAUAAUUUGCCUUGGUGUUUCCUAAAAACAACAGAUAACUUUCAAGUAGCGRCACGGCAAAUGAGUAAAAUGUACCAUCAGCAUACUUACUGCUGGGGACAGUCAACAAAAUUGUACCAAAACUACAACUAAUUCUGAAUUAUGGAAUGUCUAUGACUCCUUUUGUCUCUUACCAUUCURAAAAACAAUUUUAAAACACAAAAUGCAUCUGAUUUUUUCUCAUCCUGUGCCAAGCAGUGAGGAUCYUGGUUUUUAAAGACUACUCAAUGUUAAUAUUUAAAAAAAUUUCACUUUAGCUUUGCCAGCAGAUCCAUGAAAUGACACACUCCACCCACACACCAAUUUUUUUAACCUCUUUUCUUUCCUCAGACACCACUGAAGGCACUGCUGCUUUUAAUUAAGAACAUGUUUUCAGAUGCAUGUUUGCAUUUGGGGCAUCUGCAAAAUUUGUACCACAAAAGUAUUUUACAUUUCUAUUUUUACUUACAGGAAUAGACAGAGAAUCUGUUGAAUCACUGCUAUUGCUUCUUUCACGGCACAGACCACUGACUACACACCAUGAGAGACUUUCGUCAAACGUCAAUGAAAUGCUGUCUGACUUGUGUCGCUUUCUUCUAUCACUAGGCAGAUCAUCUGAAGAAUUUUCUUCUGGGCAUAGUCAAGAAUUUUUAGUUACUAAAACAACAUCUAUUCAAUACACAGUUUUGAAUAUUUUUAACAGAUGCUUAAAAUACAAUUUCCUAUGAAGAAAUCUAGUAAAAUAAAAUAUUUCAGUAUUAUUUUAUGGGAGGAAAAAGGCACUAAAACUUAUUUAAAAAGACACAACACUUAUACCCAAAAAGUGUGAAAYAUUUCUGAAACCAGUAUUUCAGGGGCUGGCUUUCCACAUUUGUCUCAUUAGUAAAGCUUAUGAAUAGCAGUCUCCACAUGUAGGAAAUUAAACAAUUGCGAAUUUGAAAGAAUUUUUACUCCCUACAUGACAUGUUAAACUCUUUCUAAUUUUAAGAAACACAAUUAGAAUCUUGUCCUCACUCCCUCCACAGUCAAUAAGCAGAAAGGCACUUUCAGAGGGCUUCUGAGUCCAUCCCAGAAUUUGCAGGGAGACAGAACAAUUAGCUCCCAGGUCCCAYGCACACAGACAGCCUUGUGCUAAGAAAGUUAAGUUCAGGUUCAAGUUUCAGACACCUCAACGAAUUUAUCAGUGAAUAUUCGCACUAUAUGCAA